AGAAGGUUCACAAUUCAACUCCAUAUUAUCAAUGCUUAAAAUGAUCUUCUGAUGGUGACUACUUGAUUGCCUAUAGGCUGAAAGGAAAAUAGAUUCUAGCAACCAGCUCGAUGUAAUAGUUUAUCUAUUAAACCAUCCCUCCAGAGUCAUCACAAAUGAAACCAAAACCUGUCUGUAGAGAGACUAGAGAUAAAGUGGACACAGGAAUAUCUAGUUUCAGACAAUUAUUUAAUGGUUUGUCAAGGGACUAACGGUUGAAGGGUUACCUCCCUUCAUCUCCCAGCCACUCCAAAACAUUGGUAUUCAGAACAUAACCGGACAUCAGAUCAGCAUCACUGAAUGGGCACAGUAAAAGCCUGAAGUAGUGACCUUGUCACCUUCAAGCUUUCGCAUAACCAAAUAUGUUGCUACUGAAAAGAUGAUUUUUCCCAAAUCUCCUAUCAGGAGGGAAAACUCUGAUUAGAGUACUUAUAAAAUAGAAAUUUCUAAAUGCAAAGGAGAUGCAUUUUAAUAGCUAAGGAUCUGUUUCGGUAAAUCUGCCAGAUCCGGCAGCAUAGGCUAGCGAGAGGGAAGGGAAGAGAGCAUGAGCGAAGGGAGGGAGAGUAUGCGGAUGCUGCAUGUCCCAAUACCUGCUGGAAGGAAAAAUAAAAAGAUCUCUUGAGUUUAUUUUCCCCUUUCCCUUCGCACAAGGAUUGGGCCCUGGGACCCCCCAUGUGCCCUCUCUCCCUCCCACUCUGUAGCAUUCUCUCCCACGCACACUCUUCGUCCACCUAUCCUGCCAGAUCCUGCAGCAGGAUGCUGCCAAAAAAAAGCAGAAUUUUGAAAAAAAAUGUCAUAGACAUCUAAAUAAUGGGGAAAAAAAUACAUGGAACAGAAGAGGUCAAAAUUUAACAUGCCCCCUCAACAAUAAGCAAUAUUGCAUCAACAUAAAAUCAAAAGCUUACCAGCUACAAAGAAAAAGAGAACAAAAGCAAUAGAAGAAGAGAACAAUAAAUUGUCUCUCAAACUUUUGGCAAGCACAAAAGCAGGAAAACAAUGAUCAAGUGCAAGUCCUCACAGCAAACAGUGGCACAAAAACUCAACUUCAACAAACUGUAUAUCCCACUCACCUUGCCUUAGUUAUUGCAUUAGUGCAACAAAAAUUUCUUUUGCUCCCUUCAUACAGGUCUUCCAUCGACAACACAGUAUAAUACACCCAACUGUUGAAGAUAAUUGAAAGAACUCACACAAAAUCAUUUCUCUUUUUAUUUUUUAUUUUCAUAUAUAGUAUAUCUAUGUCCAUCACUCUUAAUAUUCAGGCUCUUCUUUCGCUCCACAUUAACGAGUUCUGUCCAUGAUUAUAUUUGCCAGACACCUAAGAUGUAUGUGAUGUGUGAAUAUAUGUACCCCCUAUUUUGUUUUAUUCCAAUUCUGGAACUCAUACUUGUGCACUAAUGCAGCAUCCGUGACCGAGUUACCAUCUUUAAGUUACAGAGCCUGUGACAAGAGUAACUUUAAUGCUUCAAACUCAAUUCAUGGAGUUAUUGUUAGCCUUUUACACAACUGUAAAAAACAAUUUCCUUUCAUUUGCAAAACUUUAGCUUUGACUAUAUUUUAAUAUGAAAGAAACCAAAUAAAACCCAAAUGACAUCAAGAAGCAUUUUAUUGUCAGACUGUGUGACUCGGAAGCAUGCUAGAAAAAAAACUGAUAAGAAAUUUCUGAAUUUCUUAAUCAGUUCCAUUUUUUAAUGGAAUUUGGAUCGGUUAUCCAAGAGACAUCCAAAGUAAAAUUAGCUAAAUAUGUUUUCCUUUUGUAUUUUAUGAAUUGUUUUGGCAACUACAGCAUAAUAACUUCAGCAGAGGAGGAUGGAUACAAUUGCAGAUGGCCAUGCCAUUUGAGCAAAAGAAGAGAUGAGAUGUUGAUAGUUGCAGUGCACUCGACCACAUUUCUUUUUAAUUAAUUUGAAAUUGUCCAACUCCAAUGCAAAAUCAGGAUCCUCAUAAUAGUACAUCAUAUCGGAGAUCUACAUACAAAAAUAAGUAUGUUGCACUAGCAAAUUUGUCUGCUAUGGUCUUGCCCAAACAAUUUUUCAACAUUGAAAGGUUCUUAGUUUAAGACCAGAUGCAGAUGAGAGAAGAUAUUGAUUUAUCACUGCGUUUAAACCUCACAAUAAAGUCUCCAUUGUGAAGAUCUUGGAACAGUGAAUCCAAAACAAUAGAAACAUGUUAAUCCUAAAGAAAAGAGCUUAGUUUACCGGUUUCACGAAGGCAUCAGCUGGCUCCUCUUCGCCACAGAUUCUAUCCCUCCAAAUGGCCCCGACUUCCGACCACCUCGCCGCCGCCGCCGCCGCAUCCAUCCGCACCGCAGGCGAGGACUACGGCGUUAUCUCGGCGGCAUCGGCGGCCGAUCGGCGCCGUCACCAGCACGUCCGCUUCGAGAGCCAUCAAGAUUGAAGGAGAAUUUGGCCAUCAAUUUGGGAGCGAUCGAAAUGCGGGGAGAUCGAAAAGCGAGGAUGAAGUGAGAGAGCUAAACCCUAGCGAGGUCGCGUUAAGAAGAAAAAAUGGUUUUAGAUUGACCGCGCGCCUUCAACUGCGAACGCAGCCAAUCUCGAUGUAUAGCACGUGAACGGUUGUGGAAAUCCAACGGCCUCUAGGUGCGUCACGGUUUAUUAUUAAUAAAAACGCUUCGUAACCCUAUCAUUGUACCAAAGGGCCACUGCUACGUCUCAAAAAAUUAUUGGCCAUUUAAACCGCGUAUCCCACCGAGCUAGUAAACUAGGAGUGAUAAUCGUGUCAGGAUCAGAUAUUUAUUGGGUUAGACUCAGGCUGGAUCAAAAAUUUAUCAAUCUAAAUCUAAUUUAUUUAUUAAAAAAUUAAAUUCAAAUUCGAUCUAUUUAUUAAAUAAAUAAUUCAAUUCAAUCUGUAUAAUCUAUUUGUUAAACAAAUUAGAUGAGUUAGAUAAAUUUAUUAUUAAUAAAACACUUGGAGCCCAUCAUUGUAUCAAAGAGAUCCACUGUUGCAUCUCAAAUUUUAUUGGUGAUGUAAAUCGUGUAUUGCACCGAACGCAUGAACGUGUUAGAUACCGGUUGGAUUAGAUGCA
rnacentral:lncRNA from 1 species